UAGAUGAUUGCAAAAAUAAAACAACAUGUGACGUCCAUGGGAAGUACGGUUAUUACUAUACGGGGAUGAAGGGAUAUUAUUAUGCAGUUGAAUACUGUGACUGUAAUCCUGGAUAUUGGAACAUAUGUUGUAGUCAAGAAGUCAACGCAUGUACUAGUUUCCCCUGCAUGCAUGGUGGUACCUGCAUGCCUAAUCAACAUGGAUAUGCAUGUUCCUGCACGUCUAAAUCAACGGGAAUAAAAUGUGAAAAUUUAAUCAACGCAUGUGAUAGUUAUCCAUGUCAACGUGCAUCAUGUACUCAACUUCAAAAUGACUACAUGUGUAAUUGCCUUCCUGGAACCUCUGGAAAGAAUUGUGAAAAUGG